UUUGGGCUCCCCUGUACCUUCUUGGCGUAGUCAGUCAUUUCCUGGGGCUGUUUUUGGGCUAUCUCAGGGUGUUUCAGGGUGUUUCAGGGUGGUUUUGGGCUAUCUCAGGGUGUUUUUGGGAUGUUUUUGGGCUAUCUCAGGCUGUUUCAGGGUGUUUCAGGCCCCCUGUACCUUCUUGGCGUAGUCAGUCAUUUCCCGGGGUGUUUCUGGGCUAUCUCAGGGUGUUUCAGGCUGUUUCAGGCUGUUUAUGGGCUAUCUCAGGGUGUUUCAGGGUGUU